rnacentral:rRNA from 1 species
GAUGAACGCUGGCGGCGUGCCUAAUACAUGCAAGUCGAACGGAGAACUUUUGUAGCAAUACGAAGGUUUCUUAGUGGCGAACGGGUGAGUAACGCGUUGGUGACCUGCCCCAAAGUGUGGGAUAACAGUCCGAAAGGAUUGCUAAUACCGCAUGUGGCCAUCGGGUUUAGAAACCGAUGUCUAAAGCCGCAAGGCGCUUUGGGAGGGACCUGCGUCCCAUCAGCUAGUUGGCGAGGUAACGGCUCACCAAGGCUACGACGGGUAGGGGGCCUGAGAGGGUGGCCCCCCACAAUGGAACGGAAGCACGGUCCAUACACCUACGGGUGGCAGCAGUAGGGAAUAUUGCACAAUGGGCGAAAGCCUGAUGCAGCAACGCCGCGUGAGCGAUGAAGGCCUUCGGGUCGUAAAGCUCUUUUCUGGGAGAUGAGAAAGGACAGUACCCCAGGAAUAAGUCUCGGCUAACUACGUGCCAGCCGCCGCGGUAAAAC